UACGAAGGGGGCUAGCGUUGUUCGGAAUUACUGGGCGUAAAGCGCACGUAGGCGGAUUGUUAAGUUAGGGGUGAAAUCCCGGGGCUCAACCCCGGAACUGCCUUUAAUACUGGCAAUCUCGAGUCCGAGAGAGGUGAGUGGAAUUCCGAGUGUAGAGGUGAAAUUCGUAGAUAUUCGGAGGAACACCAGUGGCGAAGGCGGCUCACUGGCUCGAUACUGACGCUGAGGUGCGGAAGCGUGGGGAGCAAACAGG
rnacentral:rRNA from 1 species